rnacentral:rRNA from 1 species
UGGUGCCACAUUAUCACCCUGCAGCCCAAGACUGGUUGCCCACUGAAGCUAAGCAGGGUUGAGCUGGUCAGUACCUGGAUGGGAGACCUGCUGGGAAAACUAGGUUGCUGCUGGAA